AUACUUCUUCCACUACUCUGUACAGUAGUGAACUCACUAUCUCAAUAAUCAUACCUAAAACAGUGAUUGUGAUAUAUUUGUCUGAGUGAUAGACUACUUUCUACUGUUGAUUGAAAUAACACUAUGGUGGCUCUACUUUCACCAAGAUCAUUGAUCUCGUCUCUUCUCUUCGGAAGCAGUUUUUGCUUGUCUUUCACUCCCUUAUUUCUUGUUUUGUUACUUUCAGGACAGAUCAGGGUACUUGACACGUGAGUGCUCCUAUAUAGGUUUCAGGAUACUUUUCAUGAAGAAAGUAUUUUGAUACAAUUUGCAUCUACUUGGCUGAAAGUUUAAAGCUUUUACAUUGUUGUUUUUAAAACCAUCUGGCUCAUUAGAAAGGAUGAUGGAAAACUGGCAUUAGCAAUGAUCAUGACCGCUUCUGAAAAGACCAAAAAAGACCUACAGAGACUGAAACUCCAUUCACAUAAAAUGCAAAUGGGAAGACUUCAAAUUACAAGCAACAGUGCCUGAUUGACAAAUUCUCUGUCAAACUUCAUUGAUGAUCAUUUCUGAUUUUUGGGAUGUAAUCAAGUAUAUUUGUAAGUAAGUUUUGAUGAUAAUAGGACAAUGACGUCGCUUUUUUGGGUGGCCUGUUGACCACUGGUUGAGUGUCCCUUCAGGCGCAAGUGUCCUUGAGUAAAUCAUUGAUUCCUCACACUCUCUGGGAUGCUGUUCUGUAGCUGUCCCUGAUGUCUAAUCUCCCUAGAGGGGGGGCCUUCCUGUGGAGGUCAAAUAAGUAUCGCAUUUCUGAAGCAGCAACAAACACAAAGUCUUGUCUUCUGUGGUCACACGCCACAGCCGCAACAGUGCUUAUGAUUUAGCGACGAGAGCACAUUUUUAAGAAUACAGCAGUGACAGCUUGGUGCUGUUGGCAUGAUAUGUAGGUCAAGUAGGAAUAAUUUCACUGACAAAGAUUCUAGUGUUUUCAUAUAUAAAUGGGGAACAGGUUAAGGUGAUAGAUAGGUCUGGUAGUGACAUCAAGGCGGAUGUGAAGGUUUGGAGCAGAGGUGGGAAGAAGGCGAGGGCGGCGGAGGGAUUUGCACUGAUGGAUGUCCAGUUGCUGGCCACAUCAGAGGAGCCGAGGGGCAAGCAGACAGCAACCGCUGCUCCCCUCCCACUAAUCUGCGCCUGGGUAAUCAGAAACACAUGGCUCCCCAUAAUGGCUCCAGUGUUGUUCUGUGAAGUAGAACGGGGCUGUGAGGGUCGCGUACACACCAGCACACAGCCACAGUGACGGUAAAUUUACAGCAAACACUUCCCUUCACAUGCCAGAGCACUGCAACCACAUACAGUAAAUAAAUCCUGGCAUCCAUAUGCAAGUAAAAGCAACUUCUCUGUCUUUUUUAAGCUGUUAUUAAAGCGUGUCUAACCAAAUAGGCCGUGGAUAAGACAGGUGUGAAUAAUCAUGACCUGACCUCUGAGUCACAAAGACGUGAUAAAGCAAAAUCUGAUAAGGUUUGAAAAACAGGGAAAUGUUCCUGCAGGGUAAAGGCGAGUAACUCAUUCAUCAACAUGUGUUUCUGUGACUGGUUUUGGCAAAAAUUUGUAGUGAAAGUUUGCGUCUCAAACAACAAAGCUGUUGUAAGCUACAGUUCGUCGGUCGCAGACAGGACUGAUUGUCGGGACAGUUGGGGUUCAGUGCAUAAAAACAUAAGCCAUCUGCUUAUUUUCCUUGGGUUUGGGCAGACACAUUCGGUCUUGUGAUCAUUUUCCAUCCCGAUAUCUGGAAUAAGGCAGCAGCUUUCUCUCUCUGUCUCUGCUGCUCCAGGUUGGAGUGAGUGAGAAGCAGAAAGGAAACAAAAAACUUUGAGUCAGCCUGUGGAAUUAUGUGAAAGCUGAAACCUCAAGCCACAUUAUGAAGUCUGAAGUCCCACUUUACUGCGCAGAUAGCGGAUGGAUGGGUGUGUGAGGGAAUAAAGGAUAGGGGGAGGAGGAGAGAGAAUAAGGAGUGAAUGAGGGAGAAGGGAAAUAGGCUGCAGAGAAGAACAUGAGAGAAGGAGAGAGGGUUUAAAAGAAAGAGGAAGAAGAAAGAAAGGACAUCUGACUGUUCUGCUUUCUAUUAGCCAUCCAAAUCUUCUCCCCUGAUACACUCGUUCCAUAGAAUUAUGCUGACAAAGGGGGAAAAAUCUAGGGCAAUUUGCAGUCCCAGACAACUGUUUGCACACCCCUCCAUGUGGAAGAAAAGAAAAAAAGAAAGACAAAUCUCCAUCAGGAUAGAGAGAGAAACUAUAGGGACUGAAAUGGCUACCAGAUGUGGUUCCAAUCUGUUCCCGUUGCCAUGGAAACACAGGGACUGGAAUAGGUUUUCUGAGUCCAGGGCUUUUGGCUGACUCAUAGGGCCUGAGUUUUAAUGCCUCGCUGUUUCUAUAGUCUUGGCACACUGAGGGCUCCCCAGCUCCAAGUCAUGUUUAGACUAGCAGCGACAUGUCAUUGAACCCCCUUCCCACACUCCUAACCCUGACUUUUUGACCAAGCUUUGCGUUAUCCUGUAUAGUCGCUCUUUUGUGUUCUUUUGUGUUGCAGCGCCAAAGCGAAUUUAUGUCAACCUUCAAUACCAAGUCAAUAAAACCAGCAAAAUAUUACUCUUAGCUAACUGCAGAGGGGAUAUGGAAAGGCCAAGUUCCAUACACAGGCCCCUCCAAUUUAUAUAUCCAUUCAAAAGCAGCAGGCACAGAAAUCCCUCACAGGUUGUACACAUGCUCAGUCAACACAGUUUAUCCUGAAAUGCUGCACAGUGAUGACACGCAAUGCACAUUUCCAAGCUGUGACUUUCCCACAACAUGUCAAGGAUGACAAACCAGAGAACAUGUGUUGGUAUGCUCAGCUGAGAAUCUUCUCCAUUUGCGAGUUGAAGAUGGGCAGAUGGAGGCAGUUGUGUCAACAUUCCUCUCCAUCCUAGCAAUGAAUCAGACUUCAAGCCAUUGUCACAUGAAAAUUGGGAUGAUUUAGGGGGGAAAGUGUAGAGAUUCCGGUAUGGGGUUUGGCGGACAGUCUUUAAAGGAAGUUAAAAUGAAGAUUGAUUUGGAGACAUCAAGGCUGUGGUAGCUGAAUCAGACUUAAGACCAGGUCCAAAACAGAGCCAAAAAAGGAAAGACCUAAACCAGAUUAAGUUGUGACCUAUUAAGACUAAAACCAAACAAGACUAAGUCCACAGCCAGUUUAGCCCAUCUGUGAGACUGUACACAGUGGUUAUUUGAGCUAAACGCUAACAUUAGCAUGCUAACAACAUGCUCACAAAGACAAUAUUAAAAUACUGAUGUUUAGCAAGCAUAAUCUUUACCAUCUUAGUGUUAGUAUGGUAACAUUUUCUAAUUAGCACUAAACAAGGAAAUACAGAUGGGAAUGUCAUUAGUUCUGCAGGUAUUUGGUCAUAAACCAAAGUAUUGGACAAAUUCAAGUUUUUACCUGAUGAUGGCACUAGAUAAAAAGUUAAGGGAUCAACAAAGUUAUUAAAAUUCAGCCUGAGGGGGACCAUGGAUGUCUAAACCAAAUUUCAUGGCAAUCCAUUCAAUAGUUGUUGAGACAUUUCACUCAAAACUACAUAUAUCAACUUCAAGGUGGCCCAAGAGGAAAUGUCAGGGGAUCACAAAAGUCAUAAGGAUACAUUGUCUGGAAGCAUGAAUGUCCAUCCAAAUCCAUCCAACAGUUGUUCAACAGAAAAAACAAGGAAAGGCAGUCCAUGCUGAGCUAACCUUUCAAUAGUUUUUAUCUUUUCAGAAUGGUAUAAAUGCUAUAAAUCAAUAGAUCAUAGAUCAACAUCUAUUUGUUGCCAACAUCAAGACAAGACAAAAUAAGUAAGUACCUGACAAGUUCUGUUGCCCUGGAAAACAGUUUUGCAUGAAUUACACACAUGUACAUAGUAAGUAGCACACCAUGUCAAAAGUGUAGAAUCCAAAACAAAGCCACUUCACCUUCUGGUUCCAAUUACCCAUCACAUGACCUAUCCAUCCAUCCUUAUAUCCAUCCAUUCAUCCUCCUUCAUUGCCUUGUGGCCCAGCCCUGCUAUAUCCCUCUCCUCCCUGCCAAAAGAGGACACAUAUGCAGCGCAUGAUUAACUCCUUAGCACAGAGUUUCCACUGUUUUUCCCGCAUGAAAGGAGCUCUUGUCCCCCCAUCCUGAAGGAGCCAAAUGAACAGUUCCCUGGUUCCCUCGGGCACUUUGAUGAGCUGCUGUGACUGAACGACUUUGGAGGACUCACAGUAGCCCAGAGUCACAGGAAAGGGUCAGAUAUCAAUGAGCAUUCAACUGAAUCUGUUUGAAGAAUACAAUAAGAGAUAUAUGUCGUGUAUUACCCAAUACAUCCCCUUUGACCUUAUUGUUGUUCUAGUAGAUUGUACUCUGGAAUAAGACACUGGGAGAAGAUGCCAAGGAGAGGUCAUGUCCCCAUGAGAACGAAUGGGGUCUUAGUGAAUUGGUAUAUGAUGAGUGUCGUUGUAAAUCGAUUAAAUGAGGACCGAUUUUUAAGUUCUGGUUUGACUAGAGCUACAUGUAUUGCUUUUUUAUUCCAAAGAAGUAAAUGAGGAAACACCAAUUUAAUUACCAUACACAAAUGCAAAUCAAAGUUGCUAAAAACUAACCACAAAAGACAAAAUAUACCUUACAGUUGGUAACGUUGUUGCAGCUUUUCAGGCCCUUCUUUACAAAAAUGCACUGUAAGCCUAUAAAAACAGGCACGGGCCAGUCAGAUAAAAAUUGCCACUUCAUAAUUA